UGUAGAACGAGUUUACUGUCAGGAGCAAUAACAGUUUUUUGUCGGGAAGAUGAAGCUGUGACACCAGCCCGAGAUACUGUUCAGGAACCUUUACGAUGGUCCAAUAUUGGGGUCUCCAGUCUAAUAGCCAACUCUAGACAGCGAUUGUAAACCUAAAUAACCUGUUAUGGCCAAUUUUAAACAGAGAUUGUAAAUGUGCCAUUCUCAAGAUUUAUGGCCAAUUCUUGACAGAUAAUCGAAAGAAAUCAUUCUCAGUUAUUUGGCCCGGUUUAAAACACAGAUUGUACACCCAAGUAUUCUCCUUUUUUUUACGGUCAAGUUCCAACAGUCAAUGUUUAUGGUCAGUUAUGCCAAAGAUUGUAAACAAGUCAGUCUCGGGUUUUCUGGCCGGUUUUACACGAGAGAUUGUAACCUACCAGUCUCCUGUUUUAUGCCCAACUAAAGACAGAGAUUGCAGUCUACCAGUCUCCAAUUUUAUGGCCAAAAUUUUUUAAUGUCAGUUGAGACUAUAAUUUAUGGCUUUUUAUAAACAGAGAUUUUCAACAAGCUAUAAUGGCCAGUUGUAGACACUGAUGGAAAACCUACCAUUUUUAUGGCCAGCUCUAGAAAGAGAUUUAUACCAGUUGUUAGCAGAGAUUGUACUAUACCUCGAAAACUACAAAUGUUGUAGAUUUUUAAAACAUGAAGAAGUAAAGCGAAAAAUUACAAUAAUAAUCUUUUUGGACGUCAAGUUUGCCAGGUCGUAAAUUGUAGAGUGAUACAUUUGAGUAAUACUUUAUUAUUUUAUUUUUUCAUUAUUUGCUUUACAAUUCAAAUGAGAUAUUCAUGCUUAUGAAAAAACCAAUUCUGAUUAUAUUUACAAUAUGUUAAAAUUUCAUUAAUGUUUUGUUACAGA